GACCCUUCGGGGAGCCUAUUACAGGUGUUGCAUGGCUGUCGUCAGCUCGUGUCGUGAGAUGUUCGGUUAAGUCCGCUAACGAGCGCAACCCUCGUCGUAUGUUAUAUGUGUCAUACGAGACUGCCGGUAAAAAGCCGGAGGAAGGUGGGGAUGAUGUCAAGUCAGCAUGACCUUUAUAUCCAGGGCUACACACACGCUACAAUGGUCUGUACAAUGGGUAGCCAAGCCGCGAGGCGGAGCCAAUCCCGAAAGCAGGCCUCAGUUCAGAUUGCAGUCUGCAACUCGACUGCAUGAAGCCGGAGUUGCUAGUAACCGCAGGUCAGCAAUACUGCGGUGAAUACGUUCCCGGGUCUU
rnacentral:rRNA from 1 species